rnacentral:lncRNA from 1 species
UGUGGCAAUAAGAAGACAUUUUUUUAAAAAAAAUUUUUGAAGAGAUGGAUUAGUGGCACAGGCUACACUAGGGAUAAACCUUGAAAUAUUAGGCUAACUUAAGAAAACCAGUCACAAAGACCCCAUGUUGUAUGAGUCCAUUUAUAGAAAAUAUGCAGAAUAGGCAGAUUAAUGGAGGCAAGUGGGUUAGUGGUUUUCAGGAACUGAGAGGCAGAACGGAACAAGGUGGCAACUAAUGGAUACAGGAUUUCCUUUCUUUUUAUUUUUUUCCGAGUCCUGAAAACAUUCUAAAAUGGAUUGUGGCAAUGGUGGCGCAGCGCUGUGAAUAAACUAAGAGACAUUAAAUCGGGGCAGGGGGGCGUUUUUAGUUCUGCUUUUUUGGCCGCACUCACGUUGUAUGAUAUUGGAAUUUAAUUUUAUUUUUUUUUUAAGAUACAUACUUCAUACUUGAUAUUUUUAAAGAAAGCCUUACCUAUAGUCUCCUACCCCCGCCCCAUGUAUUCUUUUUGCGGGGGGAGCUUUUUAGGGCCACGCCUGCAGCAUAUGGAAGUUCCAGGCUAGGGGUAGAAUUGGAGCUGUAGCCUACGCCACAGCCACAGCAACUUCAGAUCCGAGCUGCGUCUGUGACCUACAUCACAGCUCACAGAAACACUGGAUCCUUAACCCACUGAGCGAGGCCAGGGAUCGAACCUGCGUCCUCAUGGAUACGAGUCAGACUCCUUUCUGCUGAUCCACGAUGGGAACUACCCCCCCCCCAUGUAUUCUAUUUCCUCUCCCACUUCUCACACUUCUCAAGUCUGAAAAAGCAAGGAUCUCCAUAGCAAUCCCUUUCUGAAGAUGCCCAGGGUUAUAAGGAUAUUAUUUUGAUUUGAUUCAAGAAAAUCAAUUUCCUGUCAUAUCUCCCUUAGUCCAGUGUGAUCCAUGGAUGAUGCCCCCAGAGAUCUCCAAACUAUAUAUUCUCCUGAACAGGACUUAAGUUCUUUUUUGAAAACAUUAUUAUUUAUAUUGAUGAGUCUAUUCCAACAUAGUAUUUUGGUGAGAUCUGUCUCAGGGUUUCAGUCUCCUCAAAGGAGAAAAUAUUGCAGUGUUUUUUCUACCUGGUUCUUCCGGGGAUAUGAUAGUUGAUUCACAUGGAAAGAGGAAAAAGAAAAAGGAAACCAGUAAUUAGCAGCUUUAUUCUCCAUCAGAACACCAAACUAAAAUCGGUGAGGGUCUUGAAGACCUGAGCUGUAAGAAAACACAGCUGGUGUGAUGCACAGAACACAUUUAUUGAGAAAAUACAGCGUGGAGUUCCCUAGUGGCUCAGCAGGCUAAGGACCCGGUGUUGUCAUCGCAGCGGUUCAGGCCCCUGCUCUGGCACAGGUUCUAUCCCUGGCCCUGGAACUUCCACCAAAAAAAAAUACUCUUUUGAGAAAGCUCAGCUAUGGCUGAAACUUGGUCUCUGUCCACUGGUGCCAAAUAGAAACACAGAGACAGUUUUGGGUGAAGGAGGAAAAAAAUAGCUUUAGUUGGUUUGCCAGGCAAAGGGGGCCACAGCAGGCUCAUGCCUUAAAGACUGUACCCUCCUUUAGGGAAGAACUGCAGGGAGUUUUAUGGUCUCAAAGGAGAAAAACAGGGUUUCAGAUAAGAAUCAGGGUUGGGGCAGGCAUGCAUUCUUCUUUCUCUGGGGGAAUCUUUGUCAUGGAAGCUGGUGUCAGGCCAUCUCAGCCUGAUCUGUGUGGUGGUCUGCUGGGUUAUCGCCUAGAAUGGAAGUACCUGUGAAAGGGGCAUAUUGAUCAGAGAUGAGAACAAACCAGGAAAGUUCCUGAGAAACAUCAUGAGCUCAUCAUCUUCUACCCACAGGCCAUUAGGCUCAGGGAGCCUCAUCCUUAGCUCACAGGUGAUGUGUUGAGGGUGCCGUUAAGCCAGGGAGGAGCACCAAGCCAGGGAGAAGGGCUCCAAGCUGUUCAGUUUUAAAUUCCUCAUGUCUACAAGAAGCAUAGGGAAUAUCCCUUCUCUCUUGGGUGUAUAAGAUGCCUACAUCAUUAUGUGUAUCCCUUGAGAGGGAACCAGGAAACCCCCCCCAAGGCUGUACUGUUGUGUCUUGAUGGCUCCUCCCUGGUCUCUGCCUCCCCUCCCUUCCCUGAUCAGCACCUGUCUGAACCUGCCCCUCGGAGCUCAGGAAAAGACCUGGAGGCUGAAGGAGGUCCAUUUCCUAAAAAGAAGCAAUGGGGAACACAGAGGCUUGUGUGCCCGGGCACCCCACUGGGCCCUCCUCAGUUACACAGGCAUCCUGAGGGUACCUUCCCUGGCAGAGGUGUGAAGCCCUAAAGCUGGUACCAGAAGCAGCAGCCUGUGGACAGGUGGCCCAGCCCCUCAGUCUCUGCUCAGUGACCCCAGCUUCUCCAGGAGCAUCAACAGCCCCCACCCUCAUGACCCACCUCCCCGCAGGGUCACACCCACAGCCACCCAAUCCCAUAUCCCACCUCCACGCUCACGCCCCUCCCCACUCCACCACCCCCCAGCCGCGGAAAACGCCCAGUUUCUCCUCUUCCACCAGGUCCUGCUUGCACAGACUCAGCUCUUAGCUGAGAUUCCACUGCCGUCACCCACGUCACUGUCUUCCUAUAUAUUCAAGAUGGUUUUCAUUCCGCUGCUGUUUAAUUUUCCUUCUGGGGGUGGGGGGAAUCAUAAUUUACACUCCUACCCACAAAUGCAUGCACACACAUCAGUUUCUAACAUGAAAGGAUCUUGGAAUGAUUUGAAAGAGCCCCAUUAGGUCUUACAGAAAAAUACCAUUUGUCUUCCUCCUGGCAUGUAUUUGCUAUUGGAGAAAUCUGGCCUCAUUAAUCAUAAAUGAUUUUGGUAGAGACGUGUUAGGAGUCCUGAUGCCAAAUCCAUCAGAUAAUGCCUUAAGAAGUUUUCACUCAUCAAGGACCUCAUUAACUGCUCGUACUAGCUAUCUUUUAUUCUUCUUUCCACGAUACCAAUUCUUUCCUUAAAUUUCCCUCAAAAACAUAAUUCUCUGUUAUCCAUCAGGAAAAAAAUAGUAUUUUCCUGGCAUAUUUGGUUGUGUUGUUGUCAUGUUUUAUUUCUGCACUUUCAUUUCCACAUCGUCAAUCACUCCCAAAAAGCAGUUGGUGACACUGACUAUUAAACAGACAUAUUCAAAUGUCUACUCUCCCCACUACAUGCUUCUCAGAUUUUCCCAACCUGAUACUUACUCUUCUCAUGCAGACAACCAGUACACAGAAUCUAAAAUUCAUCACCAUAAUCUUCAUAAAAUAAAAUAAAGGUAUUGGGUUACAGGGGGAAAAGGUAACGAAACUGACAGCAGUAAUGACCUGAACCCAGCCUAAACCCAGACUGGGACUUGAACCCAUGUUUUACAUUAGAAUCAUUUACCCUAUGUCUGGACUCACUGAGGUUCAGGUUCUUCAUGUCUUCAUGCAGAAGGAAUUCAGUGAGAGACAAAGGGACAGGCAAGAAAUAGAUGUAUUAGGAUAGGACGCUUGUGAGAGAUGCAAGUGGACAGGCAUGGAAGCUCUGCCCCAAGGAUCCCAUGGGCUACAGUUUUAUCCUUCAAGGGGUGUGGGGGUGGGAAAAGCCUGCCUCUUCCUUUCUGGGAGGAGUAGCUCCUCCGUAGUAUCCGGUAGGUGUGUAUUCAAAUCAGCCAAAGGGCAAUCCUCAAACUCCAGCCCUUGGUCUGAAUCCGAAUGUGGGGCUCCCCCUACCCCCCAUCCAACAACCUGAGGCAAUUCUGCACUAGUCAAGCAAGCCUGUCUUGUGCUGACGGCUUUCUUGAGCGAUUUAUGAACCUACAGGGAUCUCCCAACACCCCCUAGGUUUCCCUCUCUAUCUAUGGUCCCUUAUUGGGGCUUCUACAACCACCUGUGCCAACGCCAUCCGUAUCCAUAGUACUGAAUGAAAUAUGAGUUGAUAGAUGUGUAAAAUCUGGCAAAAUUAUCAAAAAGAUACUAAGAUAACUUUAGUUCCCCACUAAAGUGGGGAACUGAACCUUUCUUCAGACGAAAUACAAGACGGAUUUUUGCCACCCAUUGAUUCAUUUUAAAAUAUUUGGAACGUGCCAAUUACAUGCAUGGAAUUUGAUGAAAUAAAGAACAAGCCUGUUAAAAAAAAGUUUUCAUUCUGAGACGAUAUCUGUCUAUGUAGGACUGGGUCACUUUGCUGUACAGCAGAAAUUGGCACAACACAGUAAAUCACCUCUCAUAAACAAUAAGAGAAAAUAAAAACGUUUACUUUCUUUUUUUUAUUUUCCCACUGUACGGCAAGGGGAUCAAGUUAUCCUUACAUGUAUACAUUACAAUUACAGUUUUCUUCCCCACCAUUUGUUCUGUUGCAACAUGAGUAUCUAGACAAAGUUCUCAAUGCUAUUCAGCAGGAUCUCCUUAUCAUCUGUUAUCAUUUGGACGAGUUUCGUUUUCCUUGAAAAUUAUUUCAUCUUGGAGUUCCCGUCAUGGCUCACUGGGUUAAGAACUCGACGAGUGUGCAUGAAAAUAGGGGUUCAAUCCUUGGCCUCGCUCAGUGGGUUAAGGAUCCGGCAUUGCCAUGAGCUGCAGUGUAGGUCACAGACGUGGCUCAGAUGCUGCGUUGCUGUGGCUGUGGCUGUGGCUGGCAGCUUCAGCUCCGCUUCAACCCCUAUGCUGGGAAUCUGCAUAUGCCACAGGUGCAG